ACUACAAGUUUAUAAUUUAUUAAAACAACAGUAUAAAUUUUAAUAGAGGUCAUUCUAUAACCUUGAAUUUUAAUUAAUCAAGAAUAGAACCUCUUUGCGUUAUAACGAUUAUAUAUUGUCCAAGGAAUGAAAACUUUACAAUAGUAGCUAAUUGGUUGGGUUAUGAGCUAUUGGACCCUAUGAGCGUGUUGAAGUCAUCUUCAAUCAUAGGACCUUUUCUACAUGCCGAAGCAGUUUUUAUCUUCCAGAACCGUUUAUAGAAGAUAUGGUUUUUCGAGAGGCCGAUAGAUCAGUUAAGAAUUCCACAUUUAUUGUUGAUCUGUGAACCUUUGAGAGACUAAAUAUUGGUCUGCGGACACUAGCCCAACGUUCAACGCGUUUUAGAGUGAAAAUUGAACCAAAAUACACGUGUUUUACUAUAGAAUAACGCAACAGAAUCUAAAAAAUAUAUAGAGGUUUAAAUAAAAUGAUAACUAAAGGAUACAACUUCUAGUUACCUGUGCUUGGUACAUUCUAAUAAGACUGGAAUUGAUUCCAUACCAUGAAGAUACUCCACUCAGAUUCCACAGUUGAUUCGAAUGUCUGUUAAAAGAGUCUAUUUUUAUUCUAUUAGUGAAUUGGAUACAACUUAGGAACAUAUAUUGCGAUGAAUGGCGUUUAACAGUAGCUCUUUUUAGAUAACACGUUGGAUUAAGUUCAGUAUUACCUAAAAUAACGAAGAAAAAAUUAUCAUCACUAUAAAACAUACCCCAUUUUGUUGUACAUACCGACUAGCUGUGAACUACCCCAUAUAAAAGCAACAAACUGGUAAUCAUUCAAAUUCCAAGUUUUGUUACCACCAAGAGAAGUCAUUUUAUAAGUUUUUUGUAGUUUUUGAGCAACAUAUAAAUAUCUAAAAAUGACAAAUUCAUUAUUACCUAGUCAACAUAGCAGAAAUUUGCGUGCCAGAUUACAGUAUUGGGGUUAGUUCUCCAUGCAAUGUAUGCAGUCUUACCUAACAGAAUGUUUCUAAAUUCGUGCGCUAAAAUUCAGGAUGUGAUUUUGAGUUUUCGUUACUUUUUUCCAAAUUUUAGUUUGAAAUAAAUUAGGGUUAAAUUAGCAAACCUUUUUUUCGAGAUUUAGUUUUAUAAAAUGAAAAUAUUUCUUGAAAUAUCUACAUUAUUCAGAAUAAUCUAGAUUUGGAAUGAUUUACAGAUAUUUUAGGUUGUUUCAAAAUUCAAUCAGAAAUAUUUACUGAUGGUCGCACAUUAGUUUCGGCUUGGAUUAUUACAUUGUGCAAUUAGUAUUUUCACAUAACGAAUAAAUUGUUAUCGAAUUUAUUAUAUUCAUUAAAUGUUUAUCAAUUA